CGCUGUCCCUCCAUCAGGUUAUAAACAGCACCAGGACGCACACCGGUCUGCCAGUUGGGGAGGAGGCCGUGUUAAUCUUCCGCUGUGGAGGUCCUUGUGAGGCUGUUGUUGGUUGUUCCAACAUCGUCUGCUGAAGCCGAGAGGAGUUUCAGUGCACUGAGGAGGUUGAAGACCUGGCUUCGCAACUGCAUGAAGCAGAAAUGCCUGAACAAUGUGGCAGUUUCUCACAUACACCAAGAAAGGAUUGAUGCCUUGGACAGGAAGAAACUCUGCCAGGAAUUCAUCAUUGCCAAUGACCGAAGACAACAUGUGUUUGGAAGCUUCAUGUAGCUGAGAAGCCGCAAAUAUACUAACUGAGGCUGGUGGAUCUGUUAACCUCGCCACUGUGUGAAAGAAACAAAGAGAUAACAAAUACAGUGUUAUCAGACAAACCGUGUAAUUAUAAAUAUACACCCUUUCACACCUUAAUUGCCACGAUCAUCCUGUAAGGCUUAACAAGACGAGAAACUACUAUAACUGCCUAAAAUGACAGUGGUUCUGUGUUACAUUAAUUUUAAAUAAAUUUGAUCACUUGACUACUUA